CAAAAAGUAAAGAAAAAAAAAGAAUUUUACAUUAUGAUUGAUCAGUCCUUCUGGUUUAUAAUAAUUAUGAAAUUAUACAGAAGAAGAUGGAUUUGGAAAAAAUAAUCAUGUGCAGAUAAAAUUGCAAUGAUUUAUUUAUGUUAAUGAAGCAACAGACUUCGAAAAGCUCUAGGGGAGUUUUUUGUACAUGAUCAAAAGCAAGAAAAAUGAUAAACGUUUGAAGAUUUCGUAACAGUACAAGCGGAAG